UACGUAGGGAGCUAGCGUUGUUCGGAAUCACUGGGCGUAAAGGGAGCGUAGGCGGAAAGGUAAGUUAGAAGUGAAAUGUAUCGGCUCAACCGGUAACCUGCUUUUAAUACUGUCUUUUCUUGAGUAUUGGAGAGGAUGAUGGAAUUCCAGGUGUAGCGGUGGAAUGCGUAGAUAUCUGGAAGAACACCAGUUGCGAAGGCGGUCAUCUGGCCAAAUACUGACGCUGAGGCUCGAAAGCUAGGGGAGCGAACAGGAUUAGAUACCCGAGUA
rnacentral:rRNA from 1 species